AAAUGACUCGGUAAGUCUACAAUUUAUUAUUUAUUAAUAAUAAAUACUCGCUUCAUUAAUUUCUUCGUUAUACAACUCUGUUUUCCCCAAUUUACCUUGUAAGCUAAUCGUACAAUAUGAACUGGUUAACAAUCACAUUGGGAUGAUAAUUCUAUUAAUAAAGGUUCAUCCAACUUCAGAUAAAUCAAGAGCUAAUAAAGAUAAAAUAUAUUAGACAUGACUUCCCAUCUUCUUUACUGUUCUUAGUUGAUGGAGAGGCAAUUACCCACCCAGUAGUGUGGCAGUUUAUCAUCUCUGAUAAGUCCAUGCAGUGGAAACAUAAAAUUUGACAGUUACUUUAUGUUGAAAUCACAAAAAAUUGGAAAAUUAGCAUCAAUUUCGAUUAUUAGAUAACGUUGAAACGUCAAAAUUGACUUUAAACAAUAUUAUGUGAUGUUGAAACAUGAAAAUUUAACAUGGAAGUAUCAAAUUUAAUUGGUACUUUAUGUUAAAUUGCCGAAUUGAGUAACGUUUACCUAAAAAUUGACAUCAAAUUCGA